AUGCUGCGCCCCAAUUUGCUUACUUAUACUGCACCCUAAAAGUAUGUACUUUUUUUAUGAAGGAAAAAUUUAUACUUUUAAGUGUGUAACAGAAGAGUAUGCAAGCUUUGGGACAUACUACUAACUCAUUAACAGAUCGUUGUGUUGCUUAGUUAUGAGCCCUGUCAGUCAUCCACACAUCCUCCACAUUUCUAUGUUAAUAUCCAAACACGUCUUUAUAUAAGUUCAGUAUUGUUGUUGCAGAUGAAAUGCAAUUUUACACGAUUUAAAUAUUUUCCAGUGGGCUAUUCAUUAACAGUCAUUCAAACAUCUUUACCCAGCCUGUCUACUUGAUGUUUGGUCUCAUGCGUCCAUCAUGUUUAUAGUUUAUUUACACUUUUUACCCGCAUUUGUAAUUCUAAUAAAGUUCAUGUCCAACAUGCAAUGUAUUGUAUUCUAGAAACAUCCUUGCAGGUGUGUUGAAGCAAGUUGAAGUUAAAAUCUGCAGGACAUCGGCCCUUCAGGACCGAGUUUGCGAAUUGACAAAUUAUAAUAUAUGUGGUACCAAUGAAUCAUCAAGUCAAUUAUGGGAGUGCUUUGUUAAAUAGUUCUGAGGCUUAACGAGAGAUGUAUAGAAGAUGUAUAUUAUUAGAUGUAUAUCAACGAUUACAAAAAAAUUAAGUAAUGGUUUUGGACUAGCUCUGCAAAUAGAGGUACUGUAAACUGUAUUGUUUAUCCUUGGUUUCAAUCAAACUAAAUCUGCCAAAUAAGAAUAGACCCUUAAAUAGGAAGGCUUGAAUUAAAGACAAAUAAACAAAUCAAAAAGUUGACAUGAUGUCAUAGGAUGUGACAAUAAAAAGAGAAGAUGCUUAGUUUUUCUCUUUAUCACUGCAGUGUUGCUCAUUACAGUUUAAUACAGAUCUUUAAGAGGUUGCAUUUUUGUGUCUUAAUGUGAGGUGAAUGUGUUACCCACUGCACCACAGAUAAAGAAGGUUGCUGGUUCAAGCCCCGGCUGGGUCAGUUGGCAUUUUUGUGUGGAGUUUGCAUAUUCUCCCCGUGUUCACGUGGGUUUCCUCUGGGUGCUCCAGUUUCCCCCACAGUCCAAAGACAUGUGGUACAGGCGAAUUUAGUAGGCUAAAUUGUCCGUAGUGUACGAGUGUGAAUAAGUGUGUAUAGAUGUUUCCCAGAGGUGGGUUGCAGCUGGAAGGGCAUCCGCUGCGUAAACAUAUGCUGGAUAAGUUUGCGG
rnacentral:lncRNA from 1 species